GUAGUAGUCCGGAUUGGAGUCUGCAACUCGACUCCAUGAAGUCGGAAUCGCUAGUAAUCGUGGAUCAGAAUGCCACGGUGAAUACGUUCCCGGGCCUUGUACACACCGCCCGUCACACCAUGGGAGUGGGUUGCAAAAGAAGUAGGUAGCUUAACCUUCGGGAGGGCGCUUACCACUUUGUGAUUCAUGACUGGGGUGAAGUCGUAACAAGGUAACCGUAGGGGAACCUGCGGUUGGAUCACCUCCUUA
rnacentral:rRNA from 1 species